rnacentral:rRNA from 1 species
AACGAACGCUGGCGGCAUGCCUAACACAUGCAAUUCGAACGAUUGCCUUCGGGUGAUAGUGGCGCACGGGUGCGUAACGCGUGGGAAUCUGCCCUUAGGUUCGGAAUAACAGCUGGAAACGGCUGCUAAUACCGGAUGAUAUCGCGAGAUCAAAGAUUUAUCGCCUGAGGAUGAGCCCGCGUUGGAUUAGGUAGUUGGUGGGGUAAAGGCCUACCAAGCCGACGAUCCAUAGCUGGUCUGAGAGGAUGAUCAGCCACACUGGGACUGAGACACGGCCCAGACUCCUACGGGAAGCAGCAGUGGGGAAUAUUGGACAAUGGGCGCAAGCCUGAUCCAGCAAUGCCGCGUGAGUGAUGAAGGCCCUAGGGUUGUAAAGCUCUUUUACCCGGGAAGAUAAUGACUGUACCGGGAGAAUAAGCCCCGGCUAACUCCGUG